CUUAUGGAAACAUAGAGGUCAGUUCGGCUGGAUCGGUGACAGGUGCUGCAUGGCUGUCGUCAGCUCGUGUCGUGAGAUGUUGGGUUAAGUCCCGCAACGAGCGCAACCCUUGUCCUUGGUUGCCAUCAUUCAGUUGGGCACUUUAAGGAGACUGCCGGUGUUAAACCGGAGGAAGGUGGGGAUGACGUCAAGUCCUCAUGGCCCUUAUGUCCAGGGCUACACACGUGCUACAAUGGCCGGUACAAAAGGCGGCGAUAUCGCGAGAUUCAGCGAAUCCCCAAAGCCGGUCUCAGUUCGGAUUGGAGUCUGCAACCCGACUCCANGAAGUUGGAAUCGCUAGUAAUCGCGUAUCAGCAUGACGCGGUGAAUACGUUCCCGGGCCUUGUACACACCGCCCG
rnacentral:rRNA from 1 species